AAAUUGAAGAGUUUGAUCAUGGCUCAGAUUGAACGCUGGCGGCAGGCCUAACACAUGCAAGUCGAGCGGAAACGACACUAACAAUCCUUCGGGUGCGUUAAUGGGCGUCGAGCGGCGGACGGGUGAGUAAUGCCUAGGAAAUUGCCUUGAUGUGGGGGAUAACCAUUGGAAACGAUGGCUAAUACCGCAUGAUGCCUACGGGCCAAAGAGGGGGACCUUCGGGCCUCUCGCGUCAAGAUAUGCCUAGGUGGGAUUAGCUAGUUGGUGAGGUAAUGGCUCACCAAGGCGACGAUCCCUAGCUGGUCUGAGAGGAUGAUCAGCCACACUGGAACUGAGACACGGUCCAGACUCCUACGGGAGGCAGCAGUGGGGAAUAUUGCACAAUGGGCGAAAGCCUGAUGCAGCCAUGCCGCGUGUAUGAAGAAGGCCUUCGGGUUGUAAAGUACUUUCAGUUGUGAGGAAGGGUGUGUAGUUAAUAGCUGCGCAUCUUGACGUUAGCAACAGAAGAAGCACCGGCUAACUCCGUGCCAGCAGCCGCGGUAAUACGGAGGGUGCGAGCGUUAAUCGGAAUUACUGGGCGUAAAGCGCAUGCAGGUGGUUCAUUAAGUCAGAUGUGAAAGCCCGGGGCUCAACCUCGGAACUGCAUUUGAAACUGGUGAACUAGAG
rnacentral:rRNA from 1 species